rnacentral:rRNA from 1 species
UACGGAGGGAGCUAGCGUUAUUCGGAAUUACUGGGCGUAAAGCGUACGUAGGCGGCUUUGUAAGUAAGAGGUGAAAGCCCGGAGCUCAACUCCGGAACUGCCUUUUAGACUGCAUCGCUUGAAUCCAGGAGAGGUGAGUGGAAUUCCGAGUGUAGAGGUGAAAUUCGUAGAUAUUCGGAAGAACACCAGUGGCGAAGGCGGCUCACUGGAGCUGGUAAUUGACGCUGAGGUACGAAAGCGUGGGGAGC